AACGGCAGCCGGGCUUCGGCCUGGUGGCGAGUGCGAACGGGUGAGUAAUACAUCGGAACGUACCCAGAAGUGGGGGAUAACGUAGCGAAAGUUACGCUAAUACCGCAUACGUUCUACGGAAGAAAGUGGGGGAUCGCAAGCCUCAUGCUUUUGGAACGGCCGAUGUCUGAUUAGCUAGUUGGUGGGGUAAUAGGCUCACCAAGGCGCGAUCAGUAGCUGGUCUGAGAGGCGCCGCCCCUGGUCUGAGCUCGGUCCAGACUCCUACGGGAGGCAGCAGUGGGGAAUUUUGGACAAUGGGCGCAAGCCUGAUCCAGCAAUGCCGCGUGAGUGAAGAAGGCCUUCGGGUUGUAAAGCUCUUUUGUUUGGGAAGAAACGGCGGGGCUAAUUCCUUUGCUAAUGGCGG
rnacentral:rRNA from 1 species